rnacentral:rRNA from 1 species
CUACGGGAUGCAGCAGUGGGGAAUCUUGGACAAUGGGCGCAAGCCUGAUCCAGCCAUGCCGCGUGAGUGAAGAAGGCCUUAGGGUCGUAAAGCUCUUUCGCCAGAGAUGAUAAUGACAGUAUCUGGUAAAGAAACCCCGGCUAACUCCGUGCCAGCAGCCGCGGUAAUACGGAGGGGGUUAGCGUUGUUCGGAAUUACUGGGCGUAAAGCGCGCGUAGGCGGAUUAGUCAGUCAGAGGUGAAAUCCCAGGGCUCAACCCUGGAACUGCCUUUGAUACUGCUAGUCUUGAGUUCGAGAGAGGUGAUUGGAAUUCCGAGUGUAGAGGUGAAAUUCGUAGAUAUUCGGAGGAACACCAGUGGCGAAGGCGGCUCACUGGCUCGAUACUGACGCUGAGGUGCGAAAGUGUGGGGAGCAAACAGGAUUAGAUACCCCGGUAGUC